CUGCACUCUUUCUUUAUUUCCCUCAGCAUCAAAGAAACAUUAUUGAAAAAGAACAUUCAAAGCAGGUAUAAACAUCAUAUAGGCAAUGUCCGCCUAGCAACAUGACCAUCCAAUCAGUGACAUCCUUCCCAUAUAGUAGGCGGAGCGUUGAUGACCAUUUCCUCUUUCUUGCGACUCCCGAAGAAAACUCAAACUCGGAACAGGAAAACCAAGUAAAUAAAACGAGCCGUAACAAGGCAUGUGAUUCCAGAAGGUCUUUCAACCAGGUCACGCU